CCUACGGGGGGCUGCAGUGAGGAAUAUUGGUCAAUGGGCGCGAGCCUGAACCAGCCAAGUCGCGUGAAGGAUGACUGCCCUACGUGUUGUAAACUUCUUUUAUCAAGGAAUAAAGUGGGGCACGUGUGCCUUUUUGUAUGUACUUUAUGAAUAAGGAUCGGCUAACUCCGUGCCAGCAGCCGCGGUAAUACGGAGGAUCCGAGCGUUAUCCGGAUUUAUUGGGUUUAAAGGGAGCGUAGAUGGGUUGUUAAGUCAGUUGUGAAAGUUUGCGGCUCAACCGUAAAAUUGCAAUUGAUACUGGCAGCCUUGAGUACAGGUGAGGUAGGCGGAAUGCGUGGUGUAGCGGUGAAAUGCUUAGAUAUCACGAAGAACUCCGAUUGCGAAGGCAGCUUACUAAACUGCCACUGACAUUGAUGCUCGAAAGUGUGGGUAUCAAACAGGAUUAGAUACCCUUGUAGUC
rnacentral:rRNA from 1 species